GAGGAUGACUUUCAUAAGUAAGAAGUGCCAGAAAAAUUUGCUUAAUCAUUUUAUAAGCUAAAUAACUAUGGGUUAGGAACAGAUAGAAUACACUUUUUACUAACCAUAAUCAAGAGCACAACAUUUUUUGAUGGCAUGGUGUAAAAUUAUGUUUUUCCAUAGCAUAUAUAUGCAUGGGACUAGACUGACAUAAAGAGGACCAGAAGAGCAUAAUUGGGUAAUCAAAGUCACCUUGAUAGCUUCAUAA
rnacentral:misc_RNA from 1 species